rnacentral:tRNA from 1 species
GACGUGUCCGUGAGGUGGCCGAGUGGUUAAGGCGAUCGACUGCUAAUCCAUUGGGCUGUGCCCGCGUGGGUUCGAGUCCCACCCUCGUCG